CUUCUUGAAUUCAUAAUAAGUUAAGCCUGCCCGGUGAUUAUAUUUUAACGGCCGCAGUAUUUUGACUGUGCAAAGGUAGCAUAAUAAUUUGUCUUAUAAAUGAAGACUUGUAUGAAUGGUUUUCUGGGGUUAAGCUGUUUCUUAAUAAAAUUUUAAAAAUUAUUUUAAAAGUAAAAAAACUUUUAUUUUAAAAAAAGACGAGAAGACCCUAUUAAGCUUAAAAAUUAAUUUUAAUUAGUCUUAAGUACUAUAAAAACAUUUUUAGUUGGGGUGACUAAGGAAAAUAAAAACUUCCUUUUAUUUUAUUUUGACCCAGAAUUUCUGAUAUUUGGACUAAGUUACUAUAGGGAUAACAGCGUAAUAUUUCUUUAGAGUUCUUAUUAAAGGGAAAGUUUGCGACCUCGAUGUUGGUUUAGAGUUAGUUUAAGGUGCAGAAGCUUUAAGACUGAGUCUGUUCGACUUUUAAAC
rnacentral:rRNA from 1 species